rnacentral:rRNA from 1 species
UACGAAGGGGGCUAGCGUUGCUCGGAAUCACUGGGCGUAAAGGGUGCGUAGGCGGGUCUUUUAAGUCAGGGGUGAAAUCCCGGAGCUCAACUUCGGAACUGCCUCUGAUACAGCACGUCUUGAGUCCGGAAGAGGUGGGUGGAAUUCCUAGUGUAGAGGUGAAAUUCGUAGAUAUUAGGAAGAACACCGGUGGCGAAGGCGGCCCACUGGUCCGGUACUGACGCUGAGGUGCGAAAGCGUGGGGAGCAAACAGG